rnacentral:rRNA from 1 species
GACGAACUGUCCUAACGUUGUUCGGAAUCACUGGGCUUAAAGGGCGCGUAGGCGGUCCGACAAGUCAGGGGUGAAAUCCUGCAGCUUAACUGCAGAAGUGCCUUUGAUACUGUCGGUCUUGAGGGAGAUAGGGGUGUGCGGAACUCACAGUGGAGCGGUGAAAUGCGUUGAUAUUGUGAGGAACGCCGGAGGCGAAAGCGGCGCACUGGAUCUCUUCUGACGCCGAGGCGCGAAAGCUAGGGGAGCAAACGGG